rnacentral:tRNA from 1 species
UGGGAUGUAGCUCAGUGGUAGAGCACUGACCUAGCAUGCAUGGGGCCCUGGGUUCAAUCCCAGCACUACAA